CGUCUCUGAGAGAAAAGCAGAAACCUUCUCCACCCCAUCAUUCUCUUCAUGUGGAUAUGGAGUUACCUGUAACAACCCUUUUUGAACUACCAAAACCUGAGAUUCUCCUGGAUUAGUAGCUUUCCCUUGCCUCAGUGGCAUCUGAUGUGGUUCAUUUAACAACCGAUUAGCCUCCGCAUAUCGGCCUGUCGAGUAGGGAGGAGGCGCACUAGAUUUACAACCGGUCUCAUGCUCUUUCUCCUCUCCUGCUUUGGUUUGCGGCAACUGCAUUGCCGUCUUACUCACGAAUACCGCAUUUAUUUCUCCCAGAAAUGUUCUACAGUCCACUAAGAACUCAUCUGCCUUUUCUGCACUUUUCUUCUCUUUUCCACAAAAUCUCCCCUUAACGGCAAGGAGCGCAUGCGCUUGGUCUUUUCCUCUUCUCGCCAUCCUAAGAUGGUCCUGCAGCUGCUCGCCUGUUGGUUGAGAAUCUGUCUCCCUUCCAAACAUUCCUCUUUCCUGCAUCUGUGCAACCCACUUCACAUAUUUUUUGUUACACAUUUCCUAUCUUUUUCUAGGGUUUUAUCCAUAUGUCUCUUAUAAGUCUUAAAUAGGGCGAAACCCAGAGUGCCUUCUUUACACCUCUCCCAUAUCGUUAUGGUUUCCUCCAUUUUCAUCACAGGUUAUUUAUUUAUUCACACGUGGUUUUUGAACACAAGAGAAAGGACUCAAUGCCCAAUACUGUGAACCCAAUCAAGAACCUUCUACUGUAUUAGAGGAAUACAGCGCUCGAUUGUUGAGGCUUAUAACACCAGUUCACUCGUAUUGUUUUAUUUCUCUCGUAUUUAUACCACCAUCAUUUAACUAUGAUUUUCCCUUUUACCCUUUAAUACAUAUCCCCACAGAUGUGUAAUCCGGUCAAACACUUUUCACUGUCGGAUUCUCAGUCCUUUUUCAAGUCCUGAUACGCACAGCUUCCAGGUUCGGUAAAACACCAGGAGUUACACCAACCACCCACACAUUUCCCAGUAUGAAAAACAACAAAUCUUUCCCUGUGUCCUUAUUUCUUCAUCUAAUAUUCUAACCUGCCAGUCCAAGAAUCACACGAGUAGGACUGCAGGACCAGAGGUAUCUACGUACCACACGGAUUGCAACUUGGAUUUCUACCGACUAAGAUUAUAUAUAUUUUUACCUAAAUCCCUAAACCUAUGGACACUUAUUCACUUUCCCUAACGUUGAAUUCAGUGUGAGUAUGUGCUUAUACUUUACAUGUGAUCAACAGGAAAUUUUCAAAU
ensembl:lncRNA